CGUCCGGCAGCCCCUGGCUGGAAGGUGCAGGGCCAAUCGGCCCGGGCGCCCCGCGAUGACCGCUACGGGGCCGCUCUGCAUUCACCCUCCUUCGCCGCACACUCGCUUCCCCGUGCUUGCAGGCCCCUCUCGGCGCCGGGUCGGCGUCCCGCGAAGGGCGCCCCCGCCGCCCCGGAGCCGCUCGCCCUCCCCGCGCAGCCGCCGCCACGUGCCUCCAGAAGCCGGUGACGCGGCCGCGCCGGGCCCGCCCAGCGGGAGGUCACGCGCCGCCGGGCCCGCCCCCCCAGCCCCCGGGGCCGGGCGCCUCCGCGAAGGCGGAUGGGGCGAGGGGAGGCCGGAGGGCGCGCCGGGCAGCGCCGGGCACACAGCAGGUGCUCAAUAAAUGGCCGACUGGCAGCUGCCCCGUGGUCACUGCGGCCAGUGCCCUUUACUUUGGCCUGCCACCCGCCCACUCCCCCUCCCCGCCACGACGCGGCCACGAAAGCGGCGAUAAUCGUUAAGCGGCGGCUGGGGCCACACACACCCUCAGGGGGCUCGUCGACCCUAGCGCGGGCGCGGACAAAGCCCCAAAGCUCCGCCCAGCGCCCCACUGUGGGGCGGGAAGUGAAUCCUGAGCCUCACUCGGUUGGCCACUCCGAUGACGGACGGGGUCAUCAGCCAACCGCAGCCCGGACAAGACGCAUGCGUACACAAAAGCUUGAGCCCUAGAUGGGGAAAAAACGCCGCGGGCGCACCGCGGAGUCUGGUCUCGCGCGGGCCUGGAGCGGCGGGUGCGCAUGCGUGAUCCCAGCGCCGCCUCGUUUCUGCGCGACCGGCACCGAGAUGGCCCCGUGGGGGCCCGGGCGGCGCGCCCAGCCGCGGAGUCCCGGUGGAACCUCCGCGCGCCGCGCGGCCGGGCGGCGGUGCCCGGAGCGGACUCCGUGGGGAGGAGCCCCGGCCACUGUGCGCGCAGAGGCCGCGGUCACGGGCCAGUCCGCUCGCUGGCGGGGACCCCAGGGCGUCCCGGGAUGCACCAACGGAGAAAUCCCGGAGCGCUGCAGACGUUCUCAGCCAUUUGUAUAACCUUCAAAAAUAAGCAACACAGCUUUAGAGCACUUCUACACGUUGUAUCAGUUGAUUCUCACAACAGAUAAUUCUCUCCAUGUGCAAGAUGAAGAAACAGAAUUGAAAGUUAACCUGAGGCCAGCAGGACAAAGACAGGAAAGAAUGUCUGCACACAACAAGAACUAAAGCAUGUGCCCUAGCCCCUUCUCAGGAUCGAGUUAAAUCGACUCAUACAGAGUUCUGUGAUCGGACUGUGUUCUGUGGAUUGAGAAGACUGAACCAUCUGAUCUCUGAAUUCCUUUGCAACCCCGCUGUUGAGUGAUUUCGUGGUGCUGGGUUGCGGGCAGCUUACAGAAGCAGUGGUUGGAUGGGAUCUCAAAGGGAAACUGCGGAGAGUGCUGAGAACAGAAGCAACACCCGGCUAUCCAAUUGGAGAAGGAGCAGCCUUGGCGAGCGACGUAGAAGGAUGAGUCUGAGAAGCAGGAAAGAAAAACAGCGUGGGUGUCAGAGUCCAAUGCCCAGGGGAGCCCGGCAGCCACACUCUCCCUGUCGGGGGCCACUGCCACAUGUGUGAUGGGUGGUGGCGACUGCAGAGCCCAUGCCCACCUGGAGCCAGCCCACUGUCUCUUCCAGUUCUUUUUUUUUUUUUUAACAUAUUUAUUUGAGAGAGAGAAUGAGAGAGAGAGAGCAUGAGAGGGGGAGGGUCAGAGGGAGAAGCAGACUCCCCGCCGAGCAGGGAGCCCGAUGUGGGACUCGAUCCUGGGACUCCAGGAUCAUGACCUGAGCCGAAGGCAGUCGCUUAACCAACUGAGCCACCCAGGCACCCCUGUCUCUUCCAGUUCUUAAGAUGAAGCUGGAAAUGUAGAUUUUUAUUUGAAAUCUCAUGAUUUUUAAGUGUUGAGCCCCAAUUCAGAUUAUUUUAAAACUCUGGUAAAAGAACAAAAACACCACUCCACACCUACCAACCCCUGGUCCUUGGUCUCUGUGGCAUGGUACCCACGGGGCUCUUCCCACCCUUGGUCCGAGAGUGCUUCCGUCCAGCUGUACUGGAAGUGUCCUGUUUCUGUCCACACCACUGCUCUGAUGUCAGUGCCAGCCAACCCAUCACUUAGCCCCACGCUGUCUUCAGCUUUCGCCUUGCAUCUCCUUCACUCUAGAAGCUUGCGAAGUCUUUCCACAUCCUAAAAACCCUGCUCCGUUCUACGCUCCCUUCCAGGGACUGUCUGGAAAGUUCUUUCUUUUCCCUUCUCCAACAGAUUGCCGAACAGAAUCAGUUGUAUUCUGCUGCCUCUCUUCCUAUCAUAAGUUGGCUUUGUUCCUCCGCUCAGUGCCGUUUGAAGUCAGCCUCCGCCAUCUCACUGAAGCCCUUCUGACCGGGGCAAAGGUCUCUGGCUAAAUUCAUGGAACUGCUCCAACUGGGCUCAACUCCUCAUCCUCGGAGAUCGAGUCUUGUCCUUUUUAAAAUUUUAUGACCAAACCGAGAAGUGUUCCAUCAGUGUUUAUUGAGCCAAGCCAGAAUGUGUUUUCAAGAAAGAAGGACAGUCAGCAUCAUCAAAUUUGCAGAGAGAUCAAAGUCUGUUGGCCAAAUGAAGCCCACUGGAUUUUAAGAAAAGGAGAUUGCUGGCAGCUUUUGAGGGCAAUUUGAGCAGAGAGAGCUGGGAGAUGUGUUCCUGUAGUUCCCGAGAAAGGGGUUGUGCAGUGGUGAUGGGGAGUCAAACUUACAUACAGACGAUAUGCACACGUGUACAGAUGACACGCGGGAGGAGUUUGGCGCUGGGGGGAGAGGCACAGAGCACGAGUACUGGAGACGUGAGCGCCACUUGAGAUUAAAGCCCCGGCGUGCUGAAUGUGCGCGAGAAGGGGUAGCUGAGAGCGCCCUUGGGGGGCGCUGCAAGAGAACUGACAGGUCAGUGAGGGGAAGGGACAGCAGGUGAGAAGUCUCCGAAGCAGGCAGAAGGACUGAUCAUCUCUGGACUGUGUCGCAGGCCGUGCUGGGGCGGGAGAGCCCCAUGCUUUCCGGCGAUGAGAUGCGGGCAGGCUCGUCUGCAGGCGUGGGGCCGCGGGGCUCGACGGGGACCUCGGGCCAUCUCAGGGCCCUCACUCUCGGCCAGUUGUGCUGCUUUUGCUCCCUCUGUGUCGGUUGCUGGGGACUCUGUCUUUGGCUGCCCUCCCUCUAUGACUCCCUGUCAGGGAAGUGUCUGUGCCUGAGGUUUAAGCCACCUCCAUGCUCGUGACUCUGAUUCUGUUUGUGACCGAAAGGUCUCUCCUGAGCCUCCCUUCUGUGUGUCCAGCAUAUUUCACUGGUGGCUCCAUAUCUUCAUGACUGAAACUGGUCAUUUCUCCCUAAUUCUUCAUCCCAGCUAACGGUCACAAUAAUUUUGCAGUUGUCCAAGCCAGAUACGUGUUUUCACCUCCCUGCCCCUCUCCCCCCACCACCCACGUGUGUAUAGGUAGAUAUUGAAAAGAAUAAGAACAUACUUGUAUUUUGUGUAGUGUUUUCUUUUUUACUUACUACUGUCCAGAUCAUUUUAUCAUGUCAAUAAAUGCUUUUUUUAAGA